rnacentral:rRNA from 1 species
CAAUAGCGUAUAUUUAAGUUGUUGCAGUUAAAAAGCUCGUAGUUGGAUUUCGGAUGGGACUUGCCGGUCCGUCGUUUCGAUGUGCACUGGCCAGUCCUAUCUUGUUGUCGGGGACUAGCUCCUGGGCUUCACUGUCCGGGACUAGGAGCUGACGAGGUUACUUUGAGUAAAUUAGAGUGUUCAAAGCAAGCCUACGCUCUGAAUACAUUAGCAUGGAAUAACACGAUAGGACUCUGGCUUAUCUUGUUGGUCUGUGAGACCAGAGUAAUGAUUAAGAGGGACAGUCGGGGGCAUUCGUAUCUCAUUGUCAGAGGUGAAAUUCUUGGAUUUAUGAAAGACGAACUUCUGCGAAAGCAUUUGUCAAGGAUGUUUUCAUUAA